rnacentral:rRNA from 1 species
UACAGAGGGGGCAAGCGUUAUUCGGAAUUAUUGGGCGUAAAGGGCGCGUAGGCGGCUUGGCAAGUGGAUGGUGAAAUCCCUCGGCUUAACCGAGGAACUGCCGUCCAAACUGCUUAGCUUGAGACCGGGAGAGGUGAGUGGAAUUCCCAGUGUAGCGGUGAAAUGCGUAGAUAUUGGGAGGAACACCAGUGGCGAAGGCGGCUCACUGGACCGGUACUGACGCUGAGGCGCGGAAGCGUGGGGAGCAAACGGG